rnacentral:rRNA from 1 species
GAUGAACGCUGGCGGCGUGCCUAAUACAUGCAAGUCGAGCGAACGGACGAGAAGCUUGCUUCUCUGAUGUUAGCGGCGGACGGUUGAGUAACACGUGGAUAACCUACCUAUAAGACUGGGAUAACUUCGGGAAACCGGAGCUAAUACCGGAUAAUAUUUUGAACCGCAUGGUUCAAAAGUGAAAGACGGUCUUGCUGUCACUUAUAGAUGGAUCCGCGCUGCAUUAGCUAGUUGGUAAGGUAACGGCCUACCAAGGCAACGAUGCAUAGCCGACCUGAGAGGGUGAUCGGCCACACUGGAACUGAGACACGGUCCAGACUCCUACGGGAGGCAGCAGUAGGGAAUCUUCCGCAAUGGGCGAAAGCCUGACGGAGCAACGCCGCGUGAGUGAUGAAGGUCUUCGGAUCGUAAAACUCUGUUAUUAGGGAAGAACAUAUGUGUAAGUAACUGUGCACAUCUUGACGGUACCUAAUCAGAAAGCCACGGCUAACUACGUG